rnacentral:lncRNA from 1 species
CUGUGAAGAAAGUAAAAUAGCCUAGGCAUGGUGGCCUGCCUGUAGUCAGGAGGCUAAAGCCAAGCAUCAAAAGUUUGAAGCCAUCCUAGGGCCUCAAAAUAAAAUUCAAAAAGGGCUGAGGAUGUGGGUAAUUGGUAAAGUGCUUGGUAACAUGCACUAGAUCCUGGUUUGGGUUCAAUCUCCAGUACCACCAUAUAAAUAAACAAAAACAAAAUAGGUCAGUUGGUAGCUAGGGACAAGAGAUGAAUGAAUGAAUAAAUGUAUAAGUGAAUGGCAGGCAAAUUGGUGGGUAGGCAGAGCCUGUUGCUAAAAUAUAGCUAAACCUGUUUAGGUUCUAAGCCAUUGCCCAGGAAUUAUGAACAGGUCUUCUUUCCUCUUCCUCCCCAGGACAGCUCAGCAGAGCAGAUAAGGAACUCAUCAUUGUAGUGACCAGCCUGGUCAACAGGAGCUUAUACCAUGUGGUUGUCCAUAGUGCUUGGUACAGGGUCUACUCAAAGAACCCAGUGCUCUCUGACCAGGUUAGUGCCUACCUCUCCUGUUCCAGUUUCAGGGCCUUUCUAACUGAGGAAUGGACAAAGCCCAUGUUAUGAUAUGGUGCAGGGAACAAAAUCUCUAAUUGCUUGAAUUCCCUUCCAGUUCCUGUUAUGUGCCCACUUGCUUUUGCAUGUAUGUGAUGUUUAGUAUUAGGAAGAGCUAUGCCCCAGAUUAAUAUCAGUCAUAGUGGUGGUUAUUUGGCAUACAUUCUAUCAGAUGCACAUAACUACCUGUCCAAGGCAAGCCUUAUAACCAUUUUAGACUCAAGGUUCAGAGAUUUAACUUAGUAUGGAAUAUAUAACUAUAAUGUGGCAAGAGUCUCUUUUCAAAACUUGCCAUCUUUCUGCUAAUUAUACUGUUUGCACUUCCAGUAUGAAUUUUGUCCAUCCACUAAUUAUUCCUUCUGGGCCCAAACCAAUGUUUUAGGCUUUUGAAUUCUUACUGUUGACCCCAGGCAUUGGCCAGUUUGCUUCUCAUUCUGGAACUGCCUCCACCUGCUCUUGCCCAUCAGUUCUUCAGUCAACAACUUAUCCUGUCCUUACUUUGUCCAAAGUCAUGCCCUUUGGGUAUCAUUACUAUGUUUAUUUCAUUACAAAGUCCUACUGAACCCUAUAGUGAAAUCCCUGAUCCUUAAGACUGGAGAACAGAAAUAUCUGUUCUCUGCAUUUAUUCUCAGAGUUGAGGUUCAUCAUUUUCACUAUUCCCCAGUCUUCUCUUCUGAUCUGAUCUAUAGAGACUUUGUAAACUAUUCCCUAAAGGUAUCUCUUGCUGGCCUAAAAAUGAUUUCAUGAUCAUCCCCUUUGCCCUGCUGAGUGCAUCCUGCCUCGACACCCAACUUUUGCUCAUCCAGGAUCUCUCUCCCAAGUGGUCAUAGAAUGUGUUGUCACACAAUGGUUUACUGAAUAUUAUAGUUUAGAUAUGAGGUGUCCCCUAAAAGCGCAUGUGUGAGUCAGUGCAAGAAAGUAGAGGUGAAAUGAUUGGUUUAAGAGAGCCUUAACCUAAUCAGUGCAUUAAUCCACUGAGAGGGAUUAACUGAGUGGUAACUCUAGGUAGAUGGUGUGGCUGGAGGAGUUGGGUUAUUAAGGGCAUGCCUUUGGGGUAUAUAUUUGUCCCUAGUAAACAGAGUCAGUCUCUCUCUCUCUCUCUCUCUCUCUCCCUCUCCCUCUCCCUCCCUCCCUCCCGAUUGUCAUGUCCUGAGCUGUUCUCUGCCAUAUCUACACUCAGCUUAGGCCCAUAACAAUGGAGUUGGCCAUCUGUGGGCUUAGACCUCUGAAACCAUGAGACCCCAAGUAAAUUUUUUCUCCUCUAACAGCUUUUGCCAAGACUUUUGGUCACAGUGGCAAAAAAGCUGACUAAAACACCAAACUAUUUUAUUUUAAGGUUUGUAGUGGUUUCUAGUAUUUUGCUUUAGCAAGGGAAUUGAUUACCUAGUAUUGUCUUUGGAAUCCAGUGUAUUUGAAAUCCCAGCUAUACUGUGCUCUAGCCAUAUAACCUUGGGAAAGUCACUUCACCUCUUUGAACUGCAGUUUGUCAAUAAAAAGGGGAUGAUAAUAAAAAUACAACUGUCUGGGGUUUUUAUAAGAAUUAAAUGAGAUAAUGAAUACAAAACACUGAGCACAUUCUUAAUUUAUAGUAAUUGCUAAAUGUAAACUCUUUGCAAAUAUUAUAUUUUGUUUGGUAUUGAUGUGGGGGGCAGGUCAAAGAGAGUCUUUGAGCUCUACUUUUCUCAGAAAACUUUGUUUUAGUCUGAUUUUGCUCCUUUAUUCUAACCUUGAGGGACUUUUUUUUUAACCAUCAAUGUCAAUUUUAUUAAGCCCUUGUUUGAUUAUUUAUUUGCAGUAGACAAGAUAAUCUGCUUCUGACUAUAUUUUCUUGCAGGUCUGUGUGAAUUGGAGAAAGUCUGACCUUCCUGCUCGGGGAAAAAGCAAUGCUGGAGUUUGCACUUGCUGUUUCCCAAGCUGAUGAUAUAACAGAUGACCAUUUCAAAAAGCUUGAGAUAUAUGGCUUCAGUAGAGAAGAUGCCUGGGACAUAGCUGCCAUUUCAUCGUUUUAUGCCAUGGCCAAUCGCCUUGCUCAUUUUAUCAAACUCGUUCCCAACAAAGAAUUCUACUUUAUGGGCAGAACUAGUGAUCAUCGAGAGUGAAGGUGCUGCUCCCAAAGUAUAAAAGCCUGAAAAGGGAAAAAACAAAACAAAACAGUGUUUAUCAUUUCAGUCAUGUUGUAUUAGGAGACAUCAGUUG